rnacentral:rRNA from 1 species
GGACGAGAAGCUUGCUUCUCUGAUGUUAGCGGCGGACGGGUGAGUAACACGUGGAUAACCUACCUAUAAGACUGGGAUAACUUCGGGAAACCGGAGCUAAUACCGGAUAAUAUUUUGAACCGCAUGGUUCAAAAGUGAAAGACGGUCUUGCUGUCACUUAUAGAUGGAUCCGCGCUGCAUUAGCUAGUUGGUAAGGUAACGGCUUACCAAGGCAACGAUGCAUAGCCGACCUGAGAGGGUGAUCGGCCACACUGGAACUGAGACACGGUCCAGACUCCUACGGGAGGCAGCAGUAGGGAAUCUUCCGCAAUGGGCGAAAGCCUGACGGAGCAACGCCGCGUGAGUGAUGAAGGUCUUCGGAUCGUAAAACUCUGUUAUUAGGGAAGAACAUAUGUGUAAGUAACUGUGCACAUCUUGACGGUACCUAAUCAGAAAGCCACGGCUAACUACGUGCCAGCAGCCGCGGUAAUACGUAGGUGGCAAGCGUUAUCCGGAAUUAUUGGGCGUAAAGCGCGCGUAGGCGGUUUUUUAAGUCUGAUGUGAAAGCCCACGGCUCAACCGUGGAGGGUCAUUGGAAACUGGAAAACUUGAGUGCAGAAGAGGAAAGUGGAAUUCCAUGUGUAGCGGUGAAAUGCGCAGAGAUAUGGAGGAACACCAGUGGCGAAGGCGACUUUCUGGUCUGUAACUGACGCUGAUGUGCGAAAGCGUGGGGAUCAAACAGGAUUAGAUACCCUGGUAGUCCACGCCGUAAACGAUGAGUGCUAAGUGUUAGGGGGUUUCCGCCCCUUAGUGCUGCAGCUAACGCAUUAAGCACUCCGCCUGGGGAGUACGACCGCAAGGUUGAAACUCAAAGGAAUUGACGGGGACCCGCACAAGCGGUGGAGCAUGUGGUUUAAUUCGAAGCAACGCGAAGAACCUUACCAAAUCUUGACAUCCUUUGACAACUCUAGAGAUAGAGCCUUCCCCUUCGGGGGACAAAGUGACAGGUGGUGCAUGGUUGUCGUCAGCUCGUGUCGUGAGAUGUUGGGUUAAGUCCCGCAACGAGCGCAACCCUUAAGCUUAGUUGCCAUCAUUAAGUUGGGCACUCUAAGUUGACUGCCGGUGACAAACCGGAGGAAGGUGGGGAUGACGUCAAAUCAUCAUGCCCCUUAUGAUUUGGGCU